rnacentral:rRNA from 1 species
UACGUAGGGUGCAAGCGUUGUCCGGAAUUAUUGGGCGUAAAGAGCUCGUAGGCGGUCUGUCGCGUCGGAUGUGAAAACCCAGGGCUCAACCCUGGGCCUGCAUUCGAUACGGGCAGACUAGAGUUCGGUAGGGGAGACUGGAAUUCCUGGUGUAGCGGUGAAAUGCGCAGAUAUCAGGAGGAACACCGGUGGCGAAGGCGGGUCUCUGGGCCGAAACUGACGCUGAGGAGCGAAGGCGUGGGGAGCAAACAGG